GGAAGAAGCGAAAGUGACGGUACUGCAGAAGAAGCGCGGGCUACUACGUGCCAGCAGCCGCGGUAAUACGUAAGGGCGCGGGGCGUUUUCCGGGAAUUAUUGGGCGUAAAGAGCUCGUAGGCGGUUUGUCGCGUCUGCCGUGAAAGUCCGGGGCUUAAACCCCGGAUCUGCGGUGGGUACGGGCAGACUAGAGUGCAGUAGGGGAGACUGGAAUUCCUGGUGUAGCGGUGAAAUGCGCAGAUAUCAGGAGGAACACCGAUGGCGAAGGCAGGUCUCUGGGCUGUAACUGACGCUGAGGAGCGAAAGCAUGGGGAGCGAACAGGAUUAGAUACCCUGGUAGUCCAUGCCGUAAACGUUGGGCACUAGGUGUGGGGGACAUUCCACGUUUUCCGCGCCGUAGCUAACGCAUUAAGUGCCCCGCCUGGGGAGUACGGCCGCAAGGCUAAAACUCAAAGGAAUUGACGGGGGCCCGCACAAGCGGCGGAGCAUGCGGAUUAAUUCGAUGCAACGCGAAGAACCUUACCAAGGCUUGACAUGUUCCUGACCGCCGUAGAGAUACGGUUUCCCCUUUGGGGCAGGUUCACAGGUGGUGCAUGGUUGUCGUCAGCUCGUGUCGUGAGAUGUUGGGUUAAGUCCCGCAACGAGCGCAACCCUCGUUCCAUGUUGCCAGCACGUAGUGGUGGGGACUCAUGGGAGA
rnacentral:rRNA from 1 species